AGACAUUCUCCAUAUAAAUAAGGAGAAUGCCCCUCCCUCUCUCUCUCCCCCUCUUCUCUUUCUGUCACCACCUUCUCUCUCUUUCCCCAAAAAACCCUCUUCCAUGUGGAACUGCCUUGGCCUAGUGUGCUAUUGAGACUCGACCCGCCAUUCUAACACAUCAAAUAUGACAUGACCAAGGCUGCACGCUAGCCUGGGGUAUGGAAACCACAUGCAAGGAGGCAAGACUCACAAAGGCGGUGUGUGUUAAACUGCCCUGUGGGUUCCAAGAUGGCGGCAACAAGCCAAGUGCAUCUAACCUGUACUUGACAUGCUUGCUUCCUGUACAGGGAUC
rnacentral:lncRNA from 1 species